rnacentral:rRNA from 1 species
GGCAGCAGCCGCGGUAACACCGGCGGCCCGAGUGGUGAUCGUGAUUAUUGGGUCUAAAGGGUCCGUAGCCGGUUUGGUCAGUCCUCCGGGAAAUCUGAUAGCUCAACUAUUAGGCUUUCGGGGGAUACUGCCAGACUUGGAACCGGGAGAGGUAAGAGGUACUACAGGGGUAGGAGUGAAAUCUUGUAAUCCCUGUAGGACCACCUGUGGCGAAGGCGUCUUACCAGAACGGGUUCGACGGUGAGGGACGAAAGCUGGGGGCACGAACCGGAUUAGAUACCCGGGUAGUCCCAGCCGUAAACGAUGCUCGCUAGGUGUCAGGCAUGGCGCGACCGUGUCUGGUGCCGCAGGGAAGCCGUGAAGCGAGCCACCUGGGAAGUACGGCCGCAAGGCUGAAACUUAAAGGAAUUGGCGGGGGAGCACAACAACGGGUGGAAGCCUGCGGUUUAAUUGGACUCAACGCCGGACAACUCACCGGGGGCGACAGCAAUAUGUAGGCCAAGCUGAAGACUUUGCCUGAAUCGCUGAGAAGUGGUGCAUGG